GAUGAACGCUGGCGGCGUGCCUAAUACAUGCAAGUCGAGCGAACGGACGAGAAGCUUGCUUUUCUGAUGUUAGCGGCGGACGGGUGAGUAACACGUGGAUAACCUACCUAUAUGACUGGGAUAACUUCGGGAAACCGGAGCUAAUACCGGAUAAUAUUUUGAACCGCAUGGUUCAAAAGUGAAAGACGGUCUUGCUGUCACUUAUAGAUGGAUCCGCGCUGCAUUAGCUAGUUGGUAAGGUAACGGCUUACCAAGGCAACGAUGCAUAGCCGACCUGAGAGGGUGAUCGGCCACACUGGAACUGAGACACGGUCCAGACUCCUACGGGAGGCAGCAGUAGGGAAUCUUCCGCAAUGGGCGAAAGCCUGACGGAGCAACGCCGCGUGAGUGAUGAAGGUCUUCGGAUCGUAAAGCUCUGUUAUUAGGGAAGAACAUAUGUGUAAGUAACUGUGCACAUCUUGACGGUACCUAAUCAGAAAGCCACGGCUAACUACGUG
rnacentral:rRNA from 1 species